rnacentral:misc_RNA from 1 species
GUUAAGCUAUCUCUUCUUCCAAGUAGAUUUGUCCAUGUUGGCCCUCCUGCCAAAUCAACAGAUUGUUGAGCUGAAACAGUGAGAAUAUCAGCACAAGAAACAAUGCCAGGACAAGCACUCUCCAAUCUAGCCUUCAUUGUAUCAACAACAUCAAAACCUCUAGCUGAGUUGUUAUUUGCAGCAGCUUGUUUCUCACUCUCUAUAGUAUCAGUAUUGUCCAACAAAAUUGAUGCAUCGCAACCAUUGACAAAGCAGUCAUGGAAAUGAAGCCUGAU